CAGCAGUAGGGAAUAUUGGUCAAUGGGCGAAAGCCUGAUCCAGCGACGCCGCGUGAGCGAUGAAGGCCUUCGGGUCGUAAAGCUCUGUCAUGGGGGAUGAACGUCCGGGUGGUAAGAUGCCUGCUGAGUGACGGUACCCCAGGAGGAAGCCCCGGCUAACUACGUG
rnacentral:rRNA from 1 species